rnacentral:lncRNA from 1 species
AUCAUUUCUCAGUCAUUAUCGAGUGACGAAGUCUGUAGUAAACUAUCUCGAUCUGUUGGGGUUGCUACAAACUUUUGAGAAAGAUCACCAGUUCCACAAGGAGAUGAUGAAUGUAGUGGAAGCAUCUUCUUCAGACGGGUAUCGUCCCUCUGAGAAAGAGAAGAAGAAGAAGAAGAAAAAUAAGGUACCAAGUGCUGGGGGUCAGACCGUGAAGUCCAAGUCCAAGU